AUGGGGACAGUGGCUUCAAACUUUCUCCGGCACAAGGUGCCCCGUCCCCAGAGGUUUCUGGAUCGGGCUUCCAUGGCAGCAGGCGUGACCUGGCCAAGAGCUGAGCCAGGCCUCCUGCCUGUAAGGGCCGCUGGCCGGGAGCAGAGCAGGAAGGCUGGACCCCAGCCCUGCUGGACACCUGCCUGGCAGAGGACACUCGAAGACAAGCCAGGCCAAUCCAGAGCUGAGUCCAGAGCUCCCAAGAGGCCCCCGACGGCGGAGCACCACGUCGGCCACGUGGACACCACAUGGCACCCCACGGCCGCCACCAGAGAAGCCCCCCUUCCCCGGGGCCUCGCCUCCCUCGGACACCAUCCCCACCUGUCAUCCCUCCUGAGUGGUAUGUGGACUGUCCAGGGGGUGAGUCAGGUAGAGUCAGGGGCUCCGAGGGGCAGUGGCCAGAGAUGCUCUGGGGAAGGGCGAGGGCGAUGCCCUGCGGGGAGGGGACUCCGGACACACCCUCGGUCGCACGGCCCACCCUACUGGGCUCGGCUGAGGAAGGCGGAGGGUCCGGCAUCGAGGCGACAGCUAACUGCUCGAGAGCCCAGAAGGCAGUGGUGGAGGGCAGCCCUCUGAUGGCCGGGGCCGGGCAGCACCCUGGACGUCCAGGCAGACAGGGAAACUGCUCAACCCAGUAACACGGACACGUGGCCUUUCCUGCCUGCCCUUCCCUUCUCUGGGGACGUGGGGCCAGGAGCACUCCCGGGGCGCAGGGCUCGCCUCACCCGGGGCCCAGCCCUGCCAGGGGAUGGGGGCCCUGAUUCUGACCCCCAGCUCAGCCGGAGGCCAGUCCUGAGGAGUGAGGCCAAGUGAGCCCGAGGGCGGGCGGAGAGUGUGGCGCUGUGGCCGCGCCCUGUCCAGGUGGGCGUGCGGUCUGCAGCUCGGGGCCCCAGGACCUCAGAUGGCUCCCGGACCAGAUGCACAGCAGCAAGGGGCUGGGGGGGGCUUCCUGUCCCUGACCUGUCCCCUAACCUGGCCUCCGUCUCAGAGCCUAGGUGGUACUCCGUGACCUCGGGCCUUGGGGGUGCGCAUGAAAGACAGGCAGGGAGGCAGUGCUCUUCCUUCUGGGCCCCGCUGUCCCCCUGCCCCAGCCCCACCUGGGUGGGACCCCGGCCCACAGGGGAAUGGGCUUCUGGAUCACACCACAGCCCACCCCACACCCCCUUCCGGAAGCACCUGUGUCGGCGGGUCUGGAGCAUGGGGUGGGGUGCCUGGGGACGUCCCCGGGGAGUUGGGUGCACAGGGGGGCCACCGCUUCUCCCUCAGGGCAGCAGAUUGGGGUCCGCGGUUCCGACGCCACUUGCCCCCCUCCUUGAUUAAAGACGUGAGGCGCCUCUGUAUCCCCCCCAGGGAAGGGGGGGCAGGCCAGGAAGGACCCAGCCAGCCCCGCUAGCCCUCGUCUGACGAGCAGAGCUGCCACCUUCCAAGAAGGGGCCACAGCUCAGCACGCCCCAGAGCGAGAGGGACAGGGCACCAGGCCGGGACCUGCCCAUCUGUGCCCCAUGUCCACUUGAGGUCAGGGGAGACUGGGGGCCCCCAUGAGGGCCCGGGGGAGGGGCAGUCCCCGAGAGGGGGGGCUCCCGGCAGGGGAUCCCUGGUCUGGGGGAGGGGCGCCAAAGGACGAACGGGUACACAGAGAAAUAGAUAAAUAUGCCAAGCUUUUUCUUUUUUCUUUUUAAAUCAGGCAUUUAUAAACAAGAAAGCAUACAUUAAUUACAUAAAAAUAGUUUUCCAAUAGUAGAGUAAGUCAUAUCGUCAUUAGCAGCAGCAAAGGAGAGAAGGGGUCGGCGAUGCAGACGCUCCUCGCGGGGCGAGGGGAGAGCCGUGGUUUUUUCCUUAAUGGAACAAAAAGGGUUCUUUGUUGACUCCUGACUUAAAGCAAGAACAAGCCGCCUCCCGAGCCGGGCGGGCGGGCGGGCUGUUCUUCCUCAGCUAAAAACAACCCCGAAAACGAGACGAGCUACCCGGUGAGAAGCGAGUCCUGGAGAAGGAACCACCACAUACACGCAGGACGCAGGGUGGAAAGGGGGCGUAUUUACACGGUCGGUUUUUACAUCGCUAGUUCCGCACGGAAAGCAGAAGACGUGUGAGUGAGUUAGCUGCUCCGGAGACGUGAAUGUUAUUGCUGUUGUUGGUUUUUCCCUUCGUUAAACAUCUUCUUUCGGCGGAGAAAUAAUGAGUGAUUAAACUGAAUACACAAUCAUUUCGAUGAUGGGCCUCACACACAGGGAGCGGCGACCACCUACGAGAGGUCUCCUCCCUUCGCAGAGAAACUCGGGUGCAGCUGCAGCGCGGGGCCCCAGGGCCCUGCCGCCCGCCAGCCCCACGCCCUGGCCUCGCCCGGGGGCCCUCGGGGUGGCCCGGGUGGGCCAAGGCCUUCCCGGGGCCCGAGACCCUGCUGCGCCUCCAGCCCUUCCCGAUGGCUGGGGACAAAGCUGGACGGUGGCGGCAUGGACUCGACGGCCGAGACGGACCGGACGGGUGACCGGAGGGGACGGUGCCCCCACACCCCCCGGAGAACUGCCUCUCCCUCGGAGCCUGGGAACUCGAAAGUCAACGGAGCAAACCAGGCGGCCGCGGGCCAGAGGUCCCAGGUGCCCAGGAGCUCACUAGAUUUUCAGACUUGGCAACAGCACAGCCGCACAGACACACUCAAAGCUUUGCUCCGGCUCAAUCAUUUCGUUUUCCUUGAAAAAAUGACUGAAAAACACACCUCUGGAAAGACAAGGCUAAACACAGCGUUCUGAGUGUUGCGUGACUCAACUGACCCUCUACGCGACACGGUGAUUAAUGCCCAUGGGUGGAUGUACGAUUGGCAGAGGUUUUAAAUUCCAUGCAUACAGAUUUAAUAACUGCAAAGAAAAACAAAAGCAAAAAAUAAAAAUAAAAAACAACAAACGCUGCAUAUACACGACGUCCCUUUUGCAUUGCACUUUAGAAGGGGUCCAGCAGCACCGCCCCCCCCCCCCCCCGCCCCCCCCAGUAAACCAAGGGCAAACCCAGCAGACUCCGAGACCAAGCAUGUCACCACCUUGCGCGGCCGCCGGGCCCCGGCAACCUCCGCCUCCCAGCAGCUGCCGCGGUGUCAGAACGGAGUCAGGCAACGAGCUCUGGUGAGAUCUUUCUAUGUAAAUAAAUACCACCAUUUCAGGAUGGGCAGCCGCCUGUCUACCGGGAAGUCAUUUUUCAAGCUGGGGCAUAAGAAACCUUACACGAUUCGCAUACAGCUGAGAGUAAACGAGAUUAUUUGGAAUAACUGCAAGGAACCCAUUUUGAUAGUGGCAGAUUCGAUCGCUACGGGAAAUGUAGUUUGGGGGUAAAAAGACGAGUCAGGGUUUGCUGUACAAGAUGCUGGAAGGCACAGAACUACCCCCCGAAGUUCAGUUUUUGCAUUUUCGUUUUCGUGUGAUUCCCUUGUUCAACCAAGCACCAGAGGGGUUUCUAAACACUCAGCACUUUGGAGUGAAUGCUCUAGAAAUCAGUCUGCAGUAUCUGAAAAUAAAAACCUCAGUUAGCUGGGCGAUAAAAAGAGAAGGGAAGGUUUCUGACAAAGUGCAGUUCUAAAUAUACGUUUAAAUGAACGAACGAACAAAAAGAAAAAGAAAACGUGAAAUAAUGCUGUUUUGUUCCAAUGCUGCAGCCUCGGUCCCCAAACAGAAGGAGCAACGUGUGCCAAACAGAGAAGGGCCGCCGUGGCG
rnacentral:lncRNA from 1 species